CACAACUUCCAGGCACACGCAGCCACGCACAGCCCACGACGCCAUCCUGCAAAACACACACGCCACACCACACCACCAGCGAGCAGGGAAGACACACGCCACGCCCCCUCCCAAACCCCCACAGCCGCCUCAGGUCUUAGUCCAUGUCCAUAUCCCCUGCGCCGGCCCCGCUGGCUUGCCCCGCCGACGGAUCCUCCUCCUCCCCAUCCGCAUCUGGAUCCAGCGCCAGUCCCUCCAGGUCGUCCAGCAGCUCCUCCAGCGGGAUCUGUGUGCGGGUGCGUGUGGAUCCAGGAUCCAGGAGUGAUAUACGGAUCCAGGCCACCUGACAAGAAAGGUUUUCUUGUCCGCAUAGACACGAUUUCCCCCAUUCGCCCCCCAACCCGAACCCUCACGCCACGCCCCCAAAACCCAAACAAAACACACACGCCACGCCACGCCUUCCCCACCCCCACGCACCUGGGGCAAGUCCUCGUCGUCGUCGUCCUCCUCGUCCUCGCCCUCCAUGAGCCCGGCCGGAACCGCCGGCGCCGCCGCCGCCGCCUGCGUCCGCGCCGCCGCCAGCUGCACCUGCACGUGUUGGUCGCGGUUGGGGUGGGUUGGGAGGGGCGGGUCUGCUUAAACGGUUGUUGAGUGGUGAGGUGCGAUGUGGAUGGGUGUGGCGGCGGUUGGGCGGGCCAGCCACAAACAUACAAAUGCGCCCACCACUGCCGUGCUUCAUCCGAAACACAGUCCCCAAAGACGCAGCCUCCCCAAAUCCCCCUUCUAACCCCUCUCCAAGAAGCCCACCUGCGCCAGCCCCUGCGCGUCCUUGUAGACGUCCCGCCUUCCCCCUUCCCCCUUCCCCACCCAACCCCUCAAAACACACACGCGCUCUGACACCCCCCUCCCCCAACCCAACUCCCCCCCCCGAGAAAACCCACCUGCGCCAGCCCCUGCGCAUCCUUGUAGAUGUUGAUGCGCGCGCGCAUGUCCGCAUCCUCCUCAAGCUCCUGCAUGAAGCGCUCGCGGUCCGCCUCCUGUGGUGGGGUGGGGGGUUACAUUCAUGACUCAUUAAAACAGUGAAGUCGUGGGGGUGGGAGGUGGGAGGCUGGGGACAGGGCGGGGACAGGGAGGGUGCGUGCCCCAAACCCAACACUGAGCGCCAAGGCCCCCAACCCGUGCCACACAGACCACAACCACGCCGCCCUGUGGCCGCCUCCUCCACGCCCAACCGCCACAAACACACGCGUGUGUGUACUUCCCGAAACCCCCAAACCCUCCUCCCAAAACCCCUUCCUGUUCCCCGCUCCUCGCUCGCUCACCAGCGCCGCCUCGUUGCGACCGCGCUGCCCCGUGGCCGCGUCAUCCACCUCCAUCUCCAGCGUCUUCAGCUUCCAGGGCCGCGCUGCGCCGCCGGCGCCGCCACGCGCUGCGCGCCGCCGCCGCUUCUCGUCGUAGCUCUUGCGCACCUGCGCAUCGCGGGCGGGGAUGGGGGUGGGGGUGGGGCGGGGUCACAUUUAUGGUUAAUUAAGAAGAAGCGCGAGAAGCGCGAGAAGCGAAAUUGUAGCCAGGCACGUUGUAAGGCACGUUGUCAGGCACGCGGCCGCGGGGUUGGGGUUGUGGUUGGGGUUGGCGUGUCGGUGUCAGCUGGAUCCAGGCUGUGCGGCGGCUGCCCGCCGACACGCGUGCCAAACCCUGGGAGCCGCCAUUUCCCCCCCCCCCCGUCUCCCUACCGGGCCUCCUCACCCUCACCCGGAUGAUCUCCGUCGCGCCCCCGCCACUCUCACCCCCUCCCUCCGGCACGCGGCCGCCCUCCUAGCCGGCGUCCGACACGCGUGCCAAACCCUGGGACCCCAAUACCCCUUCCCCAGCACCCGUUUCCCCCCGUUUCCCCAUCUCUCACCAGGAUAAUCUCCGGCACGCGGCCUCCCGCCGACAUGUGGUUGUCGUAGUCGAUGCCGGUCAGCUGCGCCGUGGUCAGGUCGUAGCCCAGCACCGUGUCACCUGCGAGGUUGGAAGGUGGGGAAAGGUUUGAAGGUGUGGGGUGGAGGUGUGUUUGUUAGAGAGCACAUACGCCAUGCAAAUUGGUGGGGCGGUGAUCAGGGUUGCCACCAGCCAGCGGGGGCCGCCGGGGGGCCGUGAGGGCGCGUGAUGGGGCGUGACGACGCUUCAAAUGGCCCAUAACACGACCCUACUACGACGACGCAAAGUAAGAUGGCGCCCACGUGCGCGCCGCGAUCGGGGCGUACUUCAUACAUGGCAGGGGUUUUUAAAAACCCGUGUAUAAGCCACAUAGCACAUACGCCAAGAAGAUUGGUGGGGCGGUGGUCAGGGUUGCCACCAGCUAGCGGGGUCCGCCGGGGGGCGUGAGGGCGCUUCAAACGGCUUACCCCUCCCCCCCAGCACCCGUUUCCCCCCGUUUCCCCAUACUUGCUGUUACUACGACGACGCGAAGUAAGAUGGCGCCCACGUGCGCGCGACAGCAACAGUCCUUCGCUCCCUCCCCACGCCACGCCGCGUCACCCCGCCACACAGCUACAAAGCCACACACCCUCCGCCGCAGCCCCCCACCAUUCUUUGGGACUCGGGACAAACACCCGCCCCCCACCCAUACACAUACCGUACACACCCCGCCCCCUCCACACCCAACCCGCACCCCACCUGGGUGCAGGAUGUUGCCGAGGUGCGUGCGCACGUAAAACACCGUGUCGUUUUUCCCGAAGUCCGACACCCUCGCGAUCUGCGCCUCCGCCAGCUGGUACCGCCCGCUGCCGCCACCGCCGCCCGGGCCGCCGCCUUGCCCGUACCCGCCGCCGCCGCCUCCUGCCCCUCCUGCGGGGGUUGCGGAGCCGCUCUUGCUGCUGUUGCCAGCGCGGAUGGGCUCGAUGUCAAGCACGAUGAAGGAGAUGAGGGAGCGCUGCGAGGCCAGCGCCAGGCAUUCGUGCCGGUAAUACACCGGCGCCUGCGAGCGGGAGGAGGAGGAGCAGGGACAAGUUCCAAUACAACUUCUUCCAGUGGGGAAAGAGGAGGAGCCUGGCGCCGGCCGUCAUGAUGGCUGAACACGGAACACUACANNNNNNNNNNNNNNNNNNNNNNNNNNNNNNNNNNNNNNNNNNNNNNNNNNNNNNNNNNNNNNNNNNNNNNNNNNNNNNNNNNNNNNNNNNNNNNNNNNNNACCCAGUCUAUUGCCUGUUUGCAGCCAACAACAUCCAUCCGGAUUGUUCAUCAGAACCUCCACGCCUCGAGACCCCAAUCAGAGUCACCCGCUUGGCCUCUCUUCAGCACAUCUGUAACGCGGGUACUUCCCGUUCCUGACAACUUCGAAGGGCCUUUUCCCGUCGUUACAAUUGGUAUCGAGACCACCCAGCGUUCCGAUGGUAUAACAGCCGGAGGUCGCUGGUUCGAGUCCUGAGAACGUCGGAAUUUGGCUUCGCUCAAAAAACCGGCACUAGGGGAUUGCAUACCGUGGUGCCUUCUCGACGCGGUGACGGGUAAUGCCGGCCGUGGUGUCAAAAUUAGGUUUCUGGCGAGCAGUCACAUUCGCAGAUCCACCCGAGGACGUGUGAUCCAAGGGGGGGAGAAUGUAACGCGGGUACUUCCCGUUCCUGACAACUUCGAAGGGCCUUUUCCCGUCGUUACAACAUCCGCCAUGCAUGGGGCGUGGCCGUCAUCACUCAUCACACGCGCCGCGAGGGCCGUGCAGUAGCUGGGGGCUGCCGAGACUGCUGUGGCUAAUGCUGCUGCUACCGGGGCUUGAAGUGGCAGCAGCUGUGCCCGUGGUGCGGACUGGCGCUCCCACUGCCGGUUCAGCUGCCAUCACCACCACCUUCUGCAGCCGGCGCAGCAGGUAGGCCUCCUGCUCCUCGGCAGUUUGAUUGCAGGCGGUCCCAUUCCAGCUGGUUGAGUUCCCCAACGGCUGGCUGCGUCGCGCGCUAGCUGGAUUGCUAGCCGCCGCAUGCCAGGAGAACACGUUUCUCCGAACACCGCCAUCGCCCACAGGCUGUUUGCCAGACCUUUCUUACGGUAGUCAGUGACUCCGUCACUCAUCACUCAUGACACGCGCCGCGGGGGCCGUGCUAGCAGCUGGGGGCUGCAGCUGCAGCGGCAACAAGGAGCAGCAGUAGCAGCGGGAUCAGCAGUAGUGUCGACAGCUGGGGCCGUAGCAGCGGCAGUAGCACGAGCGGGACCGGUAGCGGCAUGCGCAGGGGGAGCAACCACGGCUGCAACAGCAGCCAGUGCCGGUGCCAGUGCCAGUGCCAGUGCCAGUGCCAGUGCCAGUGCCAGUGCCAGUGCCAGUGCCAGUGCCAGUGCCAGUGCCAGUGCCAGUGCCAGCCACAGGGCAGCUGCCGAGCUGGCAACAGCAGCGCCAGAGCCGGCCAUGUCAUACGCGGAGUUUGUGGCGGCGGUGUGGCGGCGGCGGCGCCAGAUGCCCUGGCUCAGCCCGCAGCAGUUGACGUGGCUGCAGCGACAGGCGGCGGCACCGCACGCGCCAACCCACUCGGCGGUGUGUGGGCAGCUAGGGAGCGCUGACGGCGUGUGUGAGGGAGCAGAGGUGGAGGCGGAGGCGGGCAAUGCGGAUGUGGAUGUGGGUGCGUGUCGGGGUGCGGGUGCGGCUGCGGCUGCUGGUACAGGGCUUGGUGGCGCCGCCGCGGGGUUGAGGGAGGAGGCCGAGCGGGCAGGCGCGAGUGGAGAGGCUGCGGGGCUGGGGCGCGGGGGUUGUUGCACCGUGUGCUGAAACACUGGGACUGCGGCAAGCUUGGCGAGAAGACACGCACGGAUUUAACUUUAUUCCAGGUGUCUCAAGGAGUUUGAACCAAUGCGAUCGCACACAGAACGAUGGAAGCGCUCUCGGCCGGCGUGUCAGCCGGGGCUUGCAUCUUCGGGGAGGGGUAAGAAGCUGCUCCCAGUGUAGGCCCAGUGGAAGCUGCAUGCGGCCCCUGAAAUGCGUGUCGGCGACGGAGUGCGGCGCUGAAUUCCUAGAAAGCAAGCAAGAGCAGAGGGCGGUGAGAGCAUAGUCCCGAGCACGAUGGCUAUAAUGACAGAGUUAGUCGUGUAGGCAACGGCUUGACGACGUGUGCAUGAAACAAACACUGGAUCAGACCGCUAGAAGGAACACACGACAACUCCAAAUCGGUACCACAUCUUUAGGUACUGAGCUGCGCGGCGACGAGCCAAUGCUGCUGGGUAAACGCACAAGCGCAGCAGCACCCGAUCCCAUUCAGUUGCAUUAAUUACCGUACACGCUGCUGUCGAUGGGCUAUGGCCUCCACCACACCUGCUGCACAAAACAGAGUCUUGCAUGUGCAUGCACACUCGCUUACACUUCUCUGAACAAAGCUCGAGGGGGCGGGGCCUCGACGGCGCGUCCGCACACCAAACGGCACGCCGCGGGCCCCCAGCCCCCAACCCGCAGCCCCCCUCCCCCUGCCGGUCGCUCUCUGCAUCUGCUGAUGCCGUGCAGCGCAACACACGCAACACCGACCACCCGCAAUCGCAAUCGAGUCAGGCAGGACGGCAGCACCACCCUACCGGUCAGUCGCCGCGGAGCCCUUCAACAAAAGCUUGUCAUCCGCCAUCCUCCGCGCCGGGCGGUGUCCUGUCUCUCAAGCUGCAACCCGCAUCUGUAUAAACCAUAAACCGCAAACGCGCCUUUCAACUCUUUACUCUUGCGCACUCUGCGCGCGUUUCGCACGUCGUCGGCCACCCAAUUCUGUUGUUUCAGGCCCAGUACCACCGCCCCAACGUCAAGCAUACGGUACCGCAAUCCUCCUUCUGUAACACCAAACCUCCACGGUCAGUGUUUAUGUUGUAGCCACUUGCAAUUUUCUGUUUGCUGCUAGGAAAUGCAAAAGGAGUCCAAAACAAAAAAAGUCCUACCCGCUGCUGCACAAGUCACUCUCGCGGCCGCGCCAAGGCCUCUGGUGUGCCGUACCAACGGCCAACCAACACUUGCCGUAACACACCGUCACACGUGGCACAACAGCGUCACACGUGCACAACUUCCAGGCACACGCAGCCACGCACAGCCCACGACGCCAUCCUGCAAAACACACACGCCACACCACACCACCAGCGAGCAGGGAAGACACACGCCACGCCCCCUCCCAAACCCCCACAGCCGCCUCAGGUCUUAGUCCAUGUCCAUAUCCCCUGCGCCGGCCCCGCUGGCUUGCCCCGCCGACGGAUCCUCCUCCUCCCCAUCCGCAUCUGGAUCCAGCGCCAGUCCCUCCAGGUCGUCCAGCAGCUCCUCCAGCGGGAUCUGUGUGCGGGUGCGUGUGGAUCCAGGAUCCAGGAGUGAUAUACGGAUCCAGGCCACCUGACAAGAAAGGUUUUCUUGUCCGCAUAGACACGAUUUCCCCCAUUCGCC
rnacentral:lncRNA from 1 species